AUGAGAGUAAUUUUGUGUUGUGAACGACCAUUUCAGAGUUGUGUUUGGAAUAAAUUUAAUUUUGUCUGUGUUUCCGCUUCUCAAGCAUGACAAGAUUUUCGUCGACAUAGCACUCCAGACAGUCAGUGAACGCAUACAUCCAAGGCAUAGGAUUUUUUGCUGCAUUGCACCGUUGUUACCAAGUUAGGGUUCGACUUCCAUUGACGCACCGGAAGGAAAGAAAGGGCAUGUUAUAUGCUUGCAAUUGUUUUAUAAAAGUUGGUCCACCAUCACAAGAGUGUUUAAUGUGACUGAUGAUAAUGGAAACAAGAUCAGAGAUAAGGAAGUCAUUGAUUAUAUUCAGAUGAGACUUGAAAACAAUCCCAGCUUUGCACCCUCAUUGAGAUAGUCUGUUGGGGUCGUACCUACUGAAGAGCAAACUGUAAUUGAACUUAAUGUCCUCAAUGUAGCAGAAGAUAGUGAUUUGCUCUUUCUUACUGCAUAUUUGAACAUUAGCAAUAUCCCUAACUACCUUAUGUUUGGUGAAAUGGAUCAAAAGCAAGAGCAAGGAGUGGGGAACACCAAAAUGUCUGCCUUUGAUGUUACUCUAGUAUCUCCCAAAGUUCCAGAAGCAGUUUGACCAGUAUCUUCUGCAGCAGAUGGUGAAACCUUAAGGCGACCUCGUGGCAGGCCAGCUGGCUCUAAGAACAAACCUAAGCCACCAAUAAUUGUGACAAGGGAUAGUGCUAAUGCACUCAAGGCUCAUGCCAUGGAAGUUAGCUCUGGCUGUGAUGUGAAUGAAAGUUUGUUGAACUUUGCAAGGAGAAAGCAACUGCUGAUUGGUGGGUUCUUGAUAACAACACCACCCCUGCAAAUCUACCCAAAGGAAUAAGAAUUGGUGGCACAAGUAGAAUGACUUUUAGUAGCAUUGUAUGAUGUUUGUAAUUAU